GAACCGUACGAACGUUAUUCGGAAUCACUGGGCUUAAGGGGUGCGUAGGCGGCUCGGCAAGUUGGGUGUGAAAUCCCUCGGCUCAACCGAGGAACCGCGCUCAAAACUGCCGAGCUAGAGGGAGACAGAGGUGAGCGGAACUUAGGGUGGAGCGGUGAAAUGCGUUGAUAUCCUAAGGAACACCAGUAGCGAAAGCGGCUCACUGGGUCUCUUCUGACGCUGAGGCACGAAAGCUGGGGGAGCGAGCGGGGGAUUAGAUACCCCGGUAGUCCUAGCUGUAAACGAUGAGCACUGGGUCGGAGGAUCCUCAUAGUUUUCCCCGGCCGUAGCGAAAGUUUUAAGUGCUCCGCCUGGGGGAGUAUGGUCGCAAGGCUG
rnacentral:rRNA from 1 species